rnacentral:lncRNA from 1 species
UUUCCAUCUUUCUAGCGAAGGAAGCUGCUAAGUAUUUCUGCCCUGGUGAGUUGUAUCCUUUUCUUCUCCAUGUCCAGUUUCCUUCUUUUUUCUCUGUCUCGUAUGUGAUUAAAUCAUUAAACUCUGACUGUCCUGAAUCAUUUUAUCUAGUCAAGCUAAGGAUGCUAAUAUGUCCUAAACAAUUAGGGGCUUGCUUAUUCCUGAAAAGCAGUUGCUUUUUUGGACAAGCAUCUGAGGCAUCGAUGAAUCCAACAUGACAGCCUUUCAGCAUUUCAUUCUUUGGCUGUCACCAGAGUUCAUAAUGUUAGAUCCUACUGUAAUAUAAGUCAAAUGCAAUGUUCCCUGCAUAAUGAAUUUUGAAAUAGCAUGCUUGUUCUUCAAACGUAGGACUAAUUAAUAUGUUUCGAUGCCUGAGUAUUAACAAGUCAAAACCCUUUCUCCUGAUGAUGAGAAACCAGCAAAGGUACUUUCUGCAUUUAAAUAUGGUUGCAUGAAGACAGUCUCAGGUGACUGCUUACCUGAUGUCUGAGUUUCAUUACAAACUCAUUAAUCACAGAGGAUGCAAUUUGCAUCUUUUUUUUCCUUUUUUGCUUGUCAACGAUAAUGCACUUUCCUUCACAUAUUUCCAUACAAUGUGUGUGGACUCAUGGCCGAAGUUAGUGAUGGAUGCUCAAGUGCUUAUGAUUCGACCUCCCUACAGGAUGUCUGUCUUCUG